CGCGUUUUCUGCUCUACGCGUUCUCUGCUCUAUGUGUUCUCAUCUUGAUUCUAUCCACCAUGGAUGCAACCACCCUGCCCAUCCUGGGAUUGCAAUAUGUCUUCUACAGACAGUACAAAAAUAGGUGUAAAGUGAAAGCAAUCAGCCUCUGCAUGCUACCGAGUUGUUAUAAACCUGCGGCACGGCCCGGGGCUUAUUGGAUAAGAACCGAAGAGUGCAGGGAACAGACUUAUUGGAUAAGGACCAAAGAGUGCAGGAACAGAACAAUCCUUUACCAGAAAGUGGAGC
rnacentral:sRNA from 1 species